rnacentral:rRNA from 1 species
UACGGAAGGCAGCAGUGGGGAAUAUUGCACAAUGGGCGAAAGCCUGAUGCAGCUAUGCCGCGUGUAUGAAGAAGGCCUUAGGGUUGUAAAGUACUUUCAUCGGGGAGGAAAAAACAAAACUAAUAAUUUUAUUUCUUGACGUUACCCGAAAAAGAAGCACCGGCUAACUCCGUGCCAGCAGCCGCGGUAAUACGGAGGGUGCUAGCGUUAAUCAGAAUUACUGGGCGUAAAGAGCACGUAGGUGGUUUUUUUAAAUCAGAUGUGAAAUCCCUGGGCUUUAACCUAGGAACUGCAUUUUGAAACUGAAAUACUAGAGUAUCGUAGAGGGAGGUAGAAUUCUAGGUGUAGCGGUGAAAUGCGUAGAUAUCUGGAGGAAUACCUGUGGCGAAAGCGGCCUCCUAAACGAAUACUGACACUGAGGUGCGAAAGCGUGGGGAGCAAACAGGGAUUAGAUACC